UACGUAGGGUGCGAGCGUUAAUCGGAAUUACUGGGCGUAAAGUGUGCGCAGGUGGCUUCGCAAGUCGAGUGUGAAAUCCCCGGGCUUAACCUGGGAAUUGCGCUCGAAACUACGGAGCUGGAGUGUGGCAGAGGGAGGUGGAAUUCCACGUGUAGCGGUGAAAUGCGUAGAGAUCGGGAGGAACACCAGUGGCGAAGGCGGCCUUCUGGACCAGUACUGACGCUGAGGUGCGAAAGCGUGGGGAGCAAACAGG
rnacentral:rRNA from 1 species